rnacentral:lncRNA from 1 species
AUGGUGUAACUGGUGUAGUAGAACCACCACUAAGCAUGUGUUGGAAGUCCAGUGCUUAAGUUAGAAUAAACUACCCGGUUAUCUUUUUCCACAGCUACAAGUAAACAAAAGCUGAAGCGGCCUUCGAGUGUCAAGUGUGGAAAAAGGUGUUUUGCGGCAAUGGCUGUGACUGAAGACAACACAGGUGUGUAUGUGGUUUUCCAAUUCAAGCACAGAGGCCACGACUUUGAACUGGGUCGUGUUUUUCUGUCCAAGUCUGAAAGAGCUGCUAUUGCUGACAAGCUGCGAGAAGGCGUGUCCAUGGAUGCAGUACUGGAUAAUGUGCGGUCCAACGUGGAUGAGACAUUCCACCGCGUUAACCUGUUAAGCAAGCGGGAUCUCCGCAAAAUAAUGAGGGAUGCCAGAGUCUCGAAGACCGAGCGGCUGCACGAUAAUGACUAUGUGAGCGUGCAACUCUGGGUUGAGAGGAUGCAUAGUGAAAAGGAAAACCCAUUGCUCUUCUUUAAACACCAAGGACAACCUGACAAAAAGUGCCAUUUUUUUAGAGAAAAAAAAUGAGGACCUUUUGGAUGACAGAGAUUUUAUGCUAGUCAUCAUUACCACACCACAACAGGAGCUUUUCAAGAGGCUUGGAACUGAUCGUAUAUGUGUCGAUCGAACACGUGGAACAGCAGGUGAGCAGUACUAUAUAAAUGCAUUAAUAAUAAAAGCAAGAAAGAGGGAAUGCUGUCCGAGAAUAAUUGCAAUAGAUAUGAUGAGUAGUAUUCCUUCACACAUGA